rnacentral:rRNA from 1 species
GACGAACGCUGGCGGCGCGCCUAACACAUGCAAGUCGAGCGAUGAAACUAUAACAGUACCCUUCGGGGCGUAGAGAAAGAGGAGUAGCGGCGGACGGGUGGGUAACACGUGAGUAACCUGCCUUAGACAUGGGGAUAGCCUCGGGAAACCGGGAUUAAUACAAAAUAAAAUCAUAAUGACACAUGUCAUAAUGAUCAAAACUCCGGUGGUCUAAGAUGGACUCGCGUCUCAUUAGCUAGUUGGUAGAGUAAAAGCCUACCAAGGCGACGAUGGCUAGCCUGGCUGUGAGAGUGGGCCGCCACUUUGGAGGUGAGCAGCAGUACGAACUCCUACGCGAGGCGGGAAUGGCUGAUAGUGCACCGUGGAGGGAACUCUGAUGCUGCUACGAUGCGUGAACGCUGAAAGCAGUCGAGACGUAAUGUUCAUUUAUAUGGGAAGAUAAUGACGGUACCUAAAGAGAAAGCCCCGGCUAACUACGUG